rnacentral:rRNA from 1 species
GCAAGUCGAGGGGUAACGGAAGUAGCUUGCUACUAGACGACGACCGGCGCACAGGUGAGUAACGCGUAUGUAAUCUGCCUUGUACAGAGGGAUAGCCCAGAGAAAUUUGGAUUAAUACCUCAUAGUAUUACCGAAUCGCAUGAUUUGGUAAUUAAAGCUCCGGCGGUACAAGAUGAACAUGCGUGACAUUAGCUAGUUGGUAAGGUAACGGCUUACCAAGGCUACGAUGUCUAGGGGUUCUGAGAGGAUGAUCCCCCACACUGGUACUGAGACACGGACCAGACUCCUACGGGAGGCAGCAGUGAGGAAUAUUGGUCAAUGGACGCAAGUCUGAACCAGCCAUCCCGCGUGAAGGAUGACUGCCCUAUGGGUUGUAAACUUCUUUUAUAUGCAAAUAAACCUACUUUCGUGAAAGUAGCUGAAGGUAGCAUAUGAAUAAACACCGGCUAACUCCGUGCCAGCAGCCGCGGUAAUACGGAGGGUGUAAGCGUUAUCCGGAUUUAUUGGGUUUAAAGGGUACGUAGGCGGUAAUAUAAGUCAGUGGUGAAAUCCUGCAGCUCAACUGUAGAACUGCCAUUGAAACUGUAU